rnacentral:lncRNA from 1 species
UGGGCAAAAAGACACUAUCUACCAUAAAAACCUGGCAGCUUCAUGCAAGGGCUGUUGCUUUUAAUUUAAAUGCUCAUUUCUUAUUCUAUUUUCAGAUCCUCUCUGGGAUUUUAGGAAUGUUGAGACGUGCUGGUUAUAAAGCCCUAAGUACAAAAUGGUCACGGAUGGCUGGAAUGAGGCAUGUUCUAAUGGAAACAAAUCACUUGUCAGGAUCACUCUUACUGGCUUGGCCGGGGAAGGAAGAUGGCAGCUCUGGUGCGAUGCAGUCGUUUGAAUGGGCGAGAAAUAGAGGAAUUGUCUCAGUGAACUACAUCUGCAAUCAGUGCGCUGCAACGGCAAGUAGAAGAGCAUGACUGACUGACCUCGUUAGUACAGUGGUGCUAAUUAACACUUGAUGAUUCGCAUAGUAAAACCUCGUGUAUUUCAUGUCCAUCCUCUGCUCUUUGUGCACUUACGUCUUUGAAGUUUGAUGUUAAUAGUGAAUAGCUGCGAGUCCAAGCAGUUUAUAUGCCUGCUCAAUAAUUUAUAUCUCGGUUGGCUUUGGUCAGCUCAUCCCUGCUCCAGAGAACCAGGAAAGUGAGGAUGCCUGAAACACCCUGAUCCUGCUCAACUGGCGAACGGCUAGAAAAGACAUUUUAAAUAGCGGGCAGUCUCCCUUGCUGAAUAACGGCAAGGAGCGCAACAGCAGGAAGAGACAGGGCCUAUCCUUCUACUCUGUCCUGCCUUCCUAACCAUGAAUUUGCAUGAUGGAAAAGAGGAAGGGCGCUUUUCUUAGUAAGGGGCAGGAACUCCACCUAAUCCCCUUUCUUCAGAAUUUAGGGGAUAAAACAUCACUCUAAUACACCCAGUGACUGCACCCUGGGUAAGAUGCCAUUUUCCUUCAGUAGAUGUAGAGGUUUCUUUCCUCAUAAUCCUUGCAUUGUUUGGACACAAUCCUCUUCUGUACGCUUAUGUUUUUCCAUUGCUAGGUGAUUUUUUUCAAUUGCUGGUGAAUGCGUGGCCCUUUUGUUAUCCAUAUUCAGUGUCAAUUCUGUGGUAUUUAAUCAUGUCAAAACGCGAAGUGCUUCGAUUGAAAAACAUUUUCAGUGGACAUCAGUAAUUGAUUUCCUUUUUUGUUGUGAAUUUUGGAGGCUUGCAGAUCAAAGUAGCUUCUAAAACUUUGAUACAGGAGAGAGAGAGAGAGAGAGCACCUUUUCAAGCAUGCAUUGCAAUAUAUUUGCUACCCUCUUGCUAAUAGCUUGCAGUAGGUGAAAAGGCAGUACAGGUAAUCCGGAAUGCAAUUGAAGAAAGAAACGUGGAGAGAGGUAACAGCAGACACAUGUUGCCUUUUAUCCCCUAUGAAGUGUUGAUUCC